CGGGCUGUUGGAGGGGGGGGGUUAGCACGUAGCUGGUUAGCACUGAGAGCUAGCAGGCGGUCAGACACAGACUCACCUUUCUUCUGGUUCACGUCGAUGUCCAGCAGGCGGUGAAAGGUUUGGUUUACUGAGGAAGAGGAAGAGGAAGAGGAGGGGUGAUCUUCUACCUGUGUGUGUCUGUCUAUGUGUCGCUGUGUGCGCUUGUGUUACGUUUGCCGCAGUGCUCCUCGUCGGCUCCGUCUCUGCACUGCGUCACCUCGUCACAUUCUAGACUUCUGUCCAAGCAGCAGCCAGAGUCACAGGUGAGCUGAGCAGGACCACAGGUAGACCCGCACUCUGCAACACACAGGUACACAUUAACCCCUGCCUUGUACUUGUGGUGCACAGCUGAUAUGAAGAGGUGCAUUGUGGGACUGACCAGCGACGGACACAGAGACGCUUCUCUCUGAAGGCGCUGAAAACACAUAAAACGUAAAGUAUUUAAACUGCUGUGUGUACUUUGAGUAUACUACAUGUGUACUCGGUGUGUACUGUGUGUACCUGAGACCCCUCUGCAGGCAGACACACACUCUUCCUCAGACAGGAAGUUGUUGCUGUUGGACUUACACCCUCCAAACAGGAAGGGCUUACAGGCGCUGGUCGUGGCGUUGUAGCUCCAGCGAGGAAACGCAGCGCGACACGGACCGACCUUCAGCGGGGACAGACAGAAGGCUGGACAGCGGACAGGAGGACACGAAUGGACUACAUUUCCCACUCACUCCUGGAGCGCUCCGGGUCGAGGACGACCACGGAGACGUUGGCGGCUCGGGAACGCUGGUCGUUGGAGUCGAUGACGGUCAGCUGGAAGACGAAAGAACCCGACUGCAGGUUGGAGAGUCUCACCUGGUCAGACUCCACUGGUACCUGGAGAUGUGGGCGUCGCCAAUCGGCAGGCUCUGGAUGCCACUGAGGGUCACCACCUCGCCAGGCUGAAUGAUGACAUCACGGGGCGCUAUGGCGAUGGGCAGAGCGUCGUCACCUGUGGAUAGUUAAGUGAUGUCACAGACCUGAGGACAGUUAAGUGAUGUCACAGACCUGAGGACAGUUAAGUGAUGUCACAGACCUGAGGACAGUUAAGUGAUGUCACAGACCUGAGGACAGUUAAGUGAUGUCACAGACCUGAGGACAGUUAAGUGAUGUCACAGACCUGAGGACAGUUGACAAUGAUUCUCUUCUACAGGUAGUUCCUCAUCUAAUACCUAAUAAUAAUAAUAACAAUAAUGUAUCCUAUAUUUCUCAAUGAUGACAGUGUAUUGAUCCCGUUGUUGAUUGAUUGAUCCUAUAGUACCAAAUGAUCUUCUUGGAUUUAUCACAUUAAAGUAUUGAUCCUGUAAUAUUUGUUAGCAUCUUGAA